AGCACGGUGGUGCAGUUGGUAGCACUGUUGCCUUGUAGCAAGAAAGUCCUGGGUUCAACCCCCGGCCAGGGUUC